CCUCUCCUCCCUAACCAUCUUCCUCCCAUGACUGAGAAGAGGGCCUCGUCAAGGAUCCCAUGGUGGAGGUCAACAUGGGAGGCUGCUUCCUUCCUUCCCAGAUUGACGGUCCAUCAAUGGAGGCCAUGAGAGUUGCGUGAGCACACACAUGGCUGCGCUUCAAGCUGCAGCUCAAUAGAUGCAGGGACGCCGCAAUGGAGCAAGUAAGGUGUCCCUUCUGCCACUGUUUCUUCAGAUCCGCAACGGCCAGCCAUAUCCAGCGCCCCUGUACCAACGUGGUGAGGUGGAAGAAAUCUCUUGAGGCCAAACCGCAGGGAGGACGACGGUCAACAAUGGGUACAAGUUCUCAAGGUCCCAGGGAACUGGGUACAGGUGCGGCUGCGUGCUCGCUGCGCAUCCAAGGCAACGUCGCGCCGUUCCUCGGGAGCAUAUGUUGAGGCGAUAUGCUGGCUUUCCUUCAAUGAUGUCGGCAAGGGUGGCUGGAUCUGUGUCCAGGAUGGCAUGGGAUUGACCCACGGUUGAUGUCUAUUAUGCGCUGGGCGGCAGUGACUGUAAAGUAGCAUAGAGUGUUCUCUAGCACGUGUUUGUACAUUGAAGUUUCUUGUGUUUUUGCUCCUCCACGUGGUAUCAUCUGGUGUGUGUAAUUUUUUUUGGGUUUUUCCUUUUAUUUAAUCACAUAGCAUGUAUUUUCUUAAAAACAUAUUGGCUUAAAAUAAAAAAAUCAUGGACC